UGCCGUAUAGUUCAAAUGGAUAGGACGUUGAUCAUGACAAAGACGCGGGUUCGAUUCCCGCUACGGCAA
rnacentral:tRNA from 1 species